CUCGCGGAGACGUUUGUUUUGCGCGGAGUGUGUAUGAUUUUCAUUCGCUGUUCGGGAUCCGGCAUCAUAAAACCUUAUCUUCUGUUGAACAAAUUUGCAGGCGUGAACAGCAAGCACCAGGUUGCCUGUUAGAUUCUAACAGAAGUCCCCUGGUUUCCUAGUCUUUUGAUUUCCCCUGUUGGCCACCUGGUGCCACAAGAGACAGCUGACCGGCGGAGAAAAGCAGCUCUAGGCCCGGCUUCCCGCAACCGCCCCCCCCCCCCCCCCCCCGCCCUCCUCUUGCUUGCUGACACGGAUAUACAGGUCUCACCCCGCCGUGAGAGAAUGUAAUAAAAUUUCUUAAACUCUCACAAGGUCUCUAGGCCUGGCUCCUUGUCGGCGGGGCCCUAACAGUUGGGUGCUGAAAUCCAGGAUACACAGGAGGAGCCCGUAGGGACCCCCGUCCCGGCUGCAGGCUUCUCCAGAACACACCGGCCACUCCAAUUUCUGAGCCGGGAGACUGGAUAUUCUUCCAGCAUCCAGCAGCCCGGGGACCCUAAAACCCAGGUGGACCGGCCCACACCAGGUACUUCUGACCACACCGAAGGCGGCCAAGUUACAGGGAUAUUCUUCCUCACUCCACUCCUCUUCAGUUGAAGUGAGCCCCUGCACCCCAGGCUCCACCAGUCUGUUUGUAUUGGAGUGUCAGCCUCGGACCAACCCGCCUCAAAUUCACAAAAAUUCCCAAGGAACUAAGUCCUGGAGUAGGUAGAGAGAAGACUCAGUGGAAUCCUAUUUUCUUUUCAUUAUCCGGAAAACAGAGAUUUGGAAAGCUUAGAAACUUGACCCGACUAAAAAGAGACCAUUCCUCCAACUUCUUCCCAGUCUAAGAAGAGUUGACCAUGAGAAUGUCCUUGGUGUAAUUUAUCACAACUACAUAGAAGUAAAGCAAAAUCCAUAACAACUGUGGAUGAAGGACAGAGCACAGAGGAUAAUAACAACUUUUAAGCAUAAAGAAAUUCAAUAAUCCUCACAAGUACAUUGCAGCUAAAGAAUAGUCUACGUUACACUCAAGAGUUUUGUUGUCCUGUAAUGUAUACCUAACCAAAUAUCAAAGCAACAGUUUAGUGCAUGUAAAAACAAUCACAGCACACUAUGGUUUAAAUGUCAAGGCAAGUCAAUUCAUCUCGGCCAUGCUAAAGAGAAUUCAUUGGUGAAAGAUAAAAUCUCACGAUAAAAUAUAUCAUGGGACGCAAAAAGUUUGCUUCUUACUGAAAGAUUUAAAGAUUUUUCUCCAUCCUCACCAAGGAAUUUAAAAAAGAAAGAAAAAAGCAAAAAGAAAAUACAUUAAAAAGAGGUAACCCAUUAACUACCCUCAAAGGAAACAUUGUGCAACACAGAAAGAUCUACCUGGGAGCUCAACAUCGGAGAAGUAUGUCUGGUUCAGCUUUCGUGUCUUCCUUUAUGUGCAUAAAAGCAUA